rnacentral:rRNA from 1 species
GAUGAACGCUAGCGACAGGCUUAACACAUGCAAGUCGAGGGGCAGCAUGAUUUGUAGCAAUACAGAUUGAUGGCGACCGGCGCACGGGUGAGUAACGCGUAUGCAACUUACCUAUCAGAGGGGGAUAGCCCGGCGAAAGUCGGAUUAAUACCCCAUAAAACAGGGGUCCCGCAUGGGAAUAUUUGUUAAAGAUUCGUCGCUGAUAGAUAGGCAUGCGUUCCAUUAGGCAGUUGGCGGGGUAACGGCCCACCAAACCGACGAUGGAUAGGGGUUCUGAGAGGAAGGUCCCCCACAUUGGUACUGAGACACGGACCAAACUCCUACGGGAGGCAGCAGUGAGGAAUAUUGGUCAAUGGCCGAGAGGCUGAACCAGCCAAGUCGCGUGAAGGAAGAAGGAUCUAUGGUUUGUAAACUUCUUUUAUAGGGGAAUAAAGUGGAGGACGUGUCCUUUUUUGUAUGUACCCUAUGAAUAAGCAUCGGCUAACUCCGUGCCAGCAGCCGCGGUAAUACGGAGGAUGCGAGCGUUAUCCGGAUUUAUUGGGUUUAAAGGGUGCGUAGGUGGUGAUUUAAGUCAGCGGUGAAAGUUUGUGGCUCAACCAUAAAAUUGCCGUUGAAACUGGGUUACUUGAGUGUGUUUGAGGUAGGCGGAAUGCGUGGUGUAGCGGUGAAAUGCAUAGAUAUCACGCAGAACUCCGAUUGCGAAGGCAGCUUACUAAACCAUAACUGACACUGAAGCACGAAAGCGUGGGGAUCAAACAGGAUUAGAUACCCUGGUAGUCCACGCAGUAAACGAUGAUUACUAGGAGUUUGCGAUACAAUGUAAGCUCUACAGCGAAAGCGUUAAGUAAUCCACCUGGG